rnacentral:ncRNA from 1 species
UUAAAAACCGUGAUUAGGAGUAGUAGUGGUUAGUACCUGUAGUUAGAGAGUUGACGGCUGGUGAAAGUCAAUCGGGUGCAUCACGAACUCGCCUAGGAGUUGCAGACAUGAAUCAUAGUAAUGUUUGCCGUCUGCCGCGUUAUGGCUGAAUGAAGCGAGUGUUUUUAGGCACUAAUGUGGGUGGUACCGCGGGAAGAUACAUACAUAAUCCUCUCGUCCCUUUU